GACGAACGCUGGCGGCGUGCUUAACACAUGCAAGUCGAACGGAAAGGCCCGGCUUUUGUGGGGUUCUCGAGUGGCGAACGGGUGAGUAAAACGUGAGUAACCUGCCCUUGACUGUGUGAUAACUUCUGGAAACUGGGGCUAAUACCGGAGAUGAGCUCCUGCUGCAUGGGGUUGGUUGGAAAGUUUCGGCGGUUGGGGAUGUACUCGCGGCGUAUUCGCUUGUUGGUGGGGUAGUGGCUUACCCAGGCUUUGAUGGGUAGCCGACCUGAGAGGGUGAUCGGCCACACUGGAACUGAGACGCGGUCCAGACUCCUACGGGAGGCAGCAGUCGGGAAUCGGCCGCAAUGGGCGGAAGCCUGACGGAGCGACGCCGAGUGAGAGAUGAAGGUGCUCGGAUCGGAAAACUCUGUUAUGAGGUAAGAACAGAUGUGUAAGUAACUAUGCACGUCUUGACGGUACCUAGUCAGAAAGCCACGGCUAACUACGUG
rnacentral:rRNA from 1 species